GACGAACGCUGGCGGCGCGCUUAACACAUGCAAGUCGAGCGGUAAGGCCCUUUCGGGGGUACGACGAGCGGCGAACGGGUGAGUAACACGUGGGUGACCUGCCCUCAGCUCUGGGAUAAGCCUGGGAAACCGGGGUCUAAUACCGGAUAUGACUCCAUGACGCAUGUUGUGGGGUGGAAAGCCUUGUGCGGCUGAGGAUGGGCCUGCGGCCUAUCAGCUUGUUGGUGGGGGAUGGCCUACCAAGGCGACGACGGGUAGCCGG
rnacentral:rRNA from 1 species